rnacentral:tRNA from 1 species
GCUUUGAUAGUUUAAUAAAAACAUUGGUCUUGUAAACCAAAAUUAAGAUACACUUUUUAAGCU